rnacentral:rRNA from 1 species
AGGGUGAUCUGGAUUCAGCGGCGGACGGGUGAGUAAUGCCUAGGAAUCUGCCUGGUAGUGGGGGAUAACGUCCGGAAACGGGCGCUAAUACCGCAUACGUCCUGAGGGAGAAAGUGGGGGAUCUUCGGACCUCACGCUAUCAGAUGAGCCUAGGUCGGAUUAGCUAGUUGGUGGGGUAAAGGCCUACCAAGGCGACGAUCCGUAACUGGUCUGAGAGGAUGAUCAGUCACACUGGAACUGAGACACGGUCCAGACUCCUACGGGAGGCAGCAGUGGGGAAUAUUGGACAAUGGGCGAAAGCCUGAUCCAGCCAUGCCGCGUGUGUGAAGAAGGUCUUCGGAUUGUAAAGCACUUUAAGUUGGGAGGAAGGGCAGUAAGUUAAUACCUUGCUGUUUUGACGUUACCAACAGAAUAAGCACCGGCUAACUUCGUGCCAGCAGCCGCGGUAAUACGAAGGGUGCAAGCGUUAAUCGGAAUUACUGGGCGUAAAGCGCGCGUAGGUGGUUCAGCAAGUUGGAUGUGAAAUCCCCGGGCUCAACCUGGGAACUGCAUCCAAAACUACUGAGCUAGAGUACGGUAGAGGGUGGUGGAAUUUCCUGUGUAGCGGUGAAAUGCGUAGAUAUAGGAAGGAACACCAGUGGCGAAGGCGACCACCUGGACUGAUACUGACACUGAGGUGCGAAAGCGUGGGGAGCAAACAGGAUUAGAUACCCUGGUAGUCCACGCCGUAAACGAUGUCGACUAGCCGUUGGGAUCCUUGAGAUCUUAGUGGCGCAGCUAACGCCGAUAAGUCGACCGUGGGGAGUACGGCGCAGGUUAAAACUCAAUGAAUGACGGGGGCUCGCACAGCGGUGGAGCAUGUGGUUAAUUCGACACGCGGAAGAACUUACUGGCUUGACAUGCUGAGACUCAGAUGGAUGGUGCUUCGGAUCAGAACAG